AUUGAAUGAUCUGAACAAAACAACCCGCAUGAGAAGGAGAGGACACCCAUGGAGGCAUAUAUUAUGGAUAUCACUACCUGUUUGUAAUUUCUCUGACUGUCUGCAGCCAGGUUAUGAAUUAAAAGCAGUUCACUCAGUGCUGUUUGGGCUGAGACUUUGUGCAUACAUUGAUAAGGAAAUCUUUCUGGCAUGAGGUACGUGACUAUAGGGACAGCCUUAUGGAGCAGAAUUCUGAAAACCCUUUUUUUUUCUAUGCAAAAACUAUAAAGAGUUAAGAAUGGCCAAAAGUUAUCAAAUACACUAAAACUGUAUUGGUGCCUGAAGUGUCCCUUUAAGAUUAUUCUGUCUCAUUAUCUCCCUGCACAGUGCAGGUAAAUGCACAAUUCACGGAGACAAAUGCCAACUUGCCAUCCUGGCCAUAGUUUAUUAUCGGCCAGAAACGCAGCUUCUUUAACUGCUCCCACGCAUAGGUUAAUUAGUGCCACUCCUGAGCCACACCUAUACACAAUAACUCUUGGUCUAUCAGCAUGAAAGUCACUGUUCUACAUGUAGUUUCGUUUUCCAGAAUUCAGUUGUCUUAAAGUGACAGUAUGUGACUGUCAGAUAUGGGCCGAUUUAGCGAGGAAGGUUCAUUAUGGGGUCCUCUAUCUAGGCUGGGGUCCUUUCAACAGCUAGAUGUAUCUCUGUGUGACUGCCUGUAGUUUGCUUAUAUACUAUGCAUUUGUUAGUUUAUAUAUUAUACAUUUUAUUUGCAUGUUUAUUAUAUAGCUUGUAGUCUUACAUGCUGUAUUAUGUGUUAUAGGCAGUUGCAUAUAAAGCCCAGUUUUCUUAUUUUUAUUAUCGAUCGAGUAGAUGAUCAAUUAUGUGUCAGUUUGCCAUCCUGCAUUAGCCAUCAGUUCAACAACAAAUUAAUUAACCUAAUGGUAGGUAUUUGCACCAUUUGGAUUACAGAAUAGACAAAAGGGCCCAAAGAGGUCAUAUGAGUCCAAAGAUGGAGAUACUUCCAAUAAAUCAAAUAAUGGUAGAAAAACAUUAUUAGAAAAUGCAGGUCUAUUUGUCUAUUCUGUAAUCCAAUGGAAUUAUUGUAAAUUAUCCCCACUUGGAGCCUCUCAGGCACAGUUAUUUGGUUCCCUAGUGGCACCUUUUUGUUAUUUGCACAGUUUAUAUCAGUUUAAAAAGUUUUUGUUUUUUAACAGUUUAUUACAUUCCUAGGCAGAUGAUCUUGUGGGAUCAUCGGAUAUCUUGGACUAAUCUACAAUCCUCUAGACAUUAUGGAUAAUCUAUGAUAUAUGUGUGUCAUAAAGCUAAGAAAUAUGCAUGUAAACAUAUAAAAUAUUCACAGGUUUUGCAAAAAAUAAUAUAAAUAUUCUUCUUACCAACACCCACUGACAUGCACCAGUAGGGACUAGAGCGAUAUCAAUAAAGCACCGACAAUUAAAAUCCAAUCAUGGUGAAAGGGUUAGCUAUAAAGCAAUAUGGACCUUUUUAUAGAUGCCCCUAGUGGCUAAAUUUGCAAUUGUAACUUAAAAAUGUCAGUUUUACUGAAACAGUUUAACCCUUAGGCUGAUGACUCAAGGACAAUAUAUCAGAGGUAUAUUUUUUAUGCAGUAAGCUGUGUUCUGCUCUGCAUGGGAAGUAGAAAAAUGAAAGCCAUAUUAACACACAAAUUUCAUGACAUUCAUAACGAGCCAGGUACAUAAGCAACCAUAAACACAUAUACUUAAUAUCACGUAAUCACACAGCUAUUUAGCCAUAACCAUACGUAGUCAGCACAUGCACACACACAUACAGUCACUCACACACACACGUUCAUAUAUCUAAACACUCACUCAAACAUACCUACAUAAAUAGAUGAAUGCAUGUGUAUCUAGCCAUUUACAUACAAACAUUCACAACUACCUAUGCAAACACAUCAUACAUAUUUCAGACAAAAUUAACUUCUCUACCCUUGCUCGUUUACCUGUGUACCAGCAAUGAGGAGAGGUGUAAGGAAUCUCCCAGGUGUCUAAUGGGGCAGAGUGGGUGAGUGACACAGUGUAAUAGACAUAGGCAUGCGCAGCCUAUUGCAUUAGGGUGUGCACCCUAAAGCACAAACACACGCCGCAUGUAUACCAUAGGCGUGCGCACAGGGUGUGCCUGGGCACACCCUAAUCCCCGUGGCACGCCUAUGGUUUGAGUCCUGCAGGAACAGCGUUCCUGCACUUUUUUUUGAGCAGGAAUGCUGUUCCUGCAGGCACUCAGCGCCCCCUGUCUCACAUCUUGCCCCUGUCAUGGGUGGGGGGCAAGAGGUGAUGGAUACCCCCCGCUCUGCAUCUCAGCCGCGGCGAGGGAGCUGUCUGCUCUCUGCUUCCUCUCGCCGCGCGCUGAUGCCAGGAGCCGGAAUAUGACGUCAUAUUCCGGCUCCCAGCUACAGCAGACAGCCCGCGCAGUGAGAGGGAGCAGAGAGCAGACAGCUCCCUCGCCGCAGAUGAGAUGCAGACAGGCACCCGGCCCACUGGACCCCAGGGAAAAGUCCACGCCAGCAAUCCAGGUAGGGAGGCUGGGUGGACAUUGUAUUAUUAAAAUAUAAUAAUUUGUAUGUGUGUGUGUCUGUGAGUGUAUGUGUGUGUGUCUGUGAGUGUAUGUGUGUGAAUGUGUGUGUCUGUGAGUGAGUGUGUGUGUGUCUGUGAGUGUAUGUAUGUGUGUCUGAGUGUAUGUGUGUGUGUCUGUGUGUGUGUGUCUGUGAAUGUGUGUGUGUGUGUGUGUAUAUUAUUUUUUGGGGGGGGUGGGAAUCCCAAUCUCCCCUUUCGGCUCACGCAGAGCCAGCGCUAUCUGAGUGCUGGCUCUGCUCUAAGCCUCCAUGGGCCGGCGGGGAGACCAAAGAUCUACCUCACCGGUCUACAGCAGCAUGGAGGGAGGCAGGGGAGGACCCAGGGAGCUCUAGACAGAAGCUCCGCCAGAUUCCUCUCGCGAUAUCUGACCGUUGCUGCGGCAAGGCUCAGAUCUCGCAAGAGUUAACUCUAGCCCCGCAGGCUAGAGUUCACUCUCCACUGGACCACCAGGGAUGGCACAUGGCAGUAAGGAUUUACUACUCUGCCCCUACCUCCACAAUCCCUCCAAACAUACAGCACCUACACACAUACAGCUCAUACACACACAGUACACUAACCGCACCCUCACAAACACACACAGCACCUUUAAAAAAACACAACACCCUCACACACAGCACACUAACAGCACCCUCACAAACACACACACACACAAACAGCACCCUCACAAAUACACAACACUCACACAAACAGCACCCUCACAGGACAAACACACACAAAAACCCUCACACACAAACAGCACAGUCACACACACAAACACCCUUACAUCACACUAACUGCACCCUUACACAUACAUCACACUAACAGCACACAGCACCCUCACACAGCACACUAACAGCACACACAGCAGUGUAUGUGUGUGUAUGUGUGUGUGUAUAUAUAUACAUCUAUAUACACACACAUAUAUGCGGCGUGUGUUUGUGCUUUAGGGUGCACACCCUAAUGCAAUAGGCUGCGCAUGCCUAUGAUACAUACACUGCUGUUAGUGUGCUGUGUGAGGGUGCUGUGUGUGCUGUUAGUGUGAUGUGUGUGUGAGGGUACUGUUAAUGUGAUGUGUGGGUGAGGGUGUUUGUGACGGUGCUGUUUGUGUGUGAGGGUGUUGUGUUUGUUCUGUGAGGGUGCUGUGUGUGUGAGGGUGCUGUUUGUGUGAGUGUCAUGUAUUUGUGAGGGUGCUGUUUGAGUGUGUGUGUUUGUGAGGGUGCUGUUAGUGUGCUGUGUGAGGGUGUUGUGGUUUUUUUAAAGGUGCUGUGUGUGUUUGUGAGGGUGCGGUUAGUACACUGUGUGUGUGUGAGCGUGCUGUGUGAGCUGUAUGUGUGUAGGUGCUGUGGGUGCUGUAUGUGUAUGUGUGCUGUAUGUUUGGAGGGAUUGUGGAGGUGGGGGCAGAUUAGUAAAUAUCCCCCCUCCCUUCUGACCUUAUGUAGGGAGGGUGGAUCCUUGCUGCCAUGUGCCAUCCCUGGUGGUCCAGUGGAUGGCACAUGGCAGCAGGGCUAGAGUUAACUCUCGCGAGAUCUGAGCGUUGCCACGGCAAUGCUCAGAUAUUGCGAAAGGAACCUGGCGGAGCUGCUGUCUAGAGCUCCCUGGGUCCUCUCCUGCCUCCCUCCAUGCUGCUGUGGGCUGGUGAGGUAGAUCUUUGGUCUCCCCGCCGGCCCAUGGAGGCGUAGAGCAGAGCCGUCAUUCAGAUAGCACCGGCUCUGCGUGAGCCGACAGGGGAGAUCAGGAGAUCUUCCCUGCCGGCAGGGUACAAGUCCUGUGGAAUAAUGUGUGGGAACUCUCCCAAGAUUCCCACACCCGCCCCCCCAAAAAAUAAUAUACACUCGUGUGUGUGGUUGUGUGUACAUAUAUAUAUACGUACACACACACUCACUCACUCACAGACACUCACACACAGACACAUGCCGUGGAGCUGUGGGGCUCUGUUAUACACUCAGACACAUUACUGGGAGUAUUAUUGCUGUGGAGCUCUGUUAUACACUCAGACACAUUACUGGGAGUAUUAUUACUGUGGAGCUCUGUUAUUCACUCAGACACAUCACUGGGAGUAUUAUUACUGUGGAGCUCUGUUAUACACUCAGACACAUUACUGGGAGUAUUAUUACUGUGGAGCUCUGUUAUACACUCAGACACAUCACUGGGAGUAUUAUUACUGUGGAGCUCUGUUAUACACUCAGACACAUCACUGGGAGUAUUAUUGCUGUGAAGCUUUUUUUAUUCACUCAAACACACCAAAAUAUAUAGAGCUACUAGAAAAGAGGAACAAUGGGAUAAAAAAGAGGCAAAGAAGGAUUUGGCCUCAAAAUAGGGAUUGUGUUUCCUAAAUAGGGACACUUGGGAGGUAUUGUUAGUUGUAGUUACUGUGUCUCAUUUGUGGUGUGGGGCCCAAUAAUAACCACUUAUACUCCACAGCACUAGGGGGCAGCAGAGGUGCCACUCACCUAACACCAUGUGCAGUGACUGAGACGGCUGCAAAGUCUUACAACAAAGACAAGAAAACGAAUAUGGUGGUGCUGUCUCUCCCUCCAUCCUGCGUCCCUAGGCGCAGGCCUCGUCGCUUCCUCUCUGACACCCCAUCUGAAUCUUUAAAAAAAAAAAAACUGUUUUACUAAACAAAACAAUCCCUUUGAAAGGCCCCAAUUACAUGGAGGCGGCUCCUGCAUUAAGGAAAUGCGAGAGAAUGAACAGCCGUGCAAUAAUGGAAGGAUUAACUGCAGCAAGCGUUUUUACUAAUGCACUAAAGAAAGCCUCUUCCUCUCUCCUCUGCUCUGUUGGAAGAACUCAAGAGAAGCUUUACUAAGUGAAAUCUGAACCCCAGCCACAUGGACAGGAGAAAUCCAGCCACCCAGUUAGAGGCAGACUGGGGUCGGAGCUGUAUAUCCCAUGUAUGAAAGAUAAUGAAAUAUAUCCAUAGGUGUGUACAGUUGGAUGGACACUGCCUGAGUUUGAGCUCCUGUUUAAUUGGUGACACUUGUAAAAAGAAAUACAAUACGUACAGCAUUAAAUACUCCUCUACAGCCUUUCUGUAUGGUAUAUAUUUUCAAAAUGCAUCACAGAUAAAGGUCAGAGCUUAAACUAAUUUUAAAGAGAUUUUCUGCCAUCAAAACAACAUAUCUCAAUUAAAUUGUUUUGAUGGCUUGAGUUCCUGGUGGAGCCAUUUUACCUUGGUGUGUUAAAUCGUUUUAAAAUAAUGUAACGCCUAAUGUGCUUUUGAGCGCCCGUCCGUACUCUCCAAUCCCUCGGGUGCAAUCCUGAGCAGAAAAUUAAAGUAUUGCCAAGUGAUGGGUGUAGACGAAAACAAACAAAAAAAAAAUUAAUGGCGUGCAUGAAAUAGUUGGGUUGUUAAAUUGUUUGAAUGUGGUUUUACAUUUUAAAAUAUCUUCAUUGAGAUAAAGUGGUUUUGAUGGUAGAAAUUUCCUUUAACCCCUUAAGGACACAUGACAUGUGUGACAUGUCAUGAUUCCCUUUUAUUCCAGAAGUUUGGUCCAUAAGGGGUUAAACCACAGCUGACAAAUUGCCCUAGGGUAUUCUUGGUAUACAAUCCUCAUAAGUCGAUUCAGGCUUUGGCUUUAAAUUCUGGGAGAUGUAGUCCAUUAACAGCAAUUUGACAAUUGUAUGCUAAAAAUAUAGGGUUCAGACUGAUAUAGGCAUACACGUAAUUAUUAUAUUUAUAAAAUAUCAGAUUCCAUAAGGCCACCAUAGCACUGAUACAAAAAAAAUGUUUUUCAGGUUAAAUUACAACAGGUUAGAGCUACAAAUACCAUUAAUUAUUUAUUGUGGGAGGUUAAAUUCUAUAACA